rnacentral:lncRNA from 1 species
AUUUGUUCUAAUGUCACUGGAGCAAAAAUCAUAAAACAUUUUGCUUUCCUUUACAACCUCCUAAUACAAAAAUAAAACAAAAAACUAUUUGUAGGGAAAAAAACAGUUUUGUGUGUGAGAUGAAACAAUAUAAAUUCAAAACUUACAGAUAAGGGUAAGCUGUAUCAGUCAUCUCUUUAAAAAGUUCAUGUGAACAUCCUGUCAUAUCCAACAGGGUACCUCCUUUUGAAAUGUCAUCUGUGUGGAUUUCCAAGCAGACCAUAGGACUGUGCACUGUCUUAGAAGGUCCUCAGAGGGCUCUGUCAUUCAGAGUUAAAAACCCCAGAGUCCUUUCUUUCAAAUGGAAGAGGGACAGAAGAAACUGUUCAAACUCUGUCUUCUUUCCUUGUGGCUUGUGGUCUCCUCCUCCCCCUGUCUCCUUGGCCACCAACCCUGCCUCAGAAGCCUCUUCUGCUUCUACCAUGACCCCCAAGGCCACCUUUCCCUCUAGGCAUGGCCCAGUCCAAGGUAACUGUGUCCAUCAAUUUCCCAUCUUCUACAGCCUCGUUGGCGGCUUUGGCAUCCUCUUCACUGUUGAAGUCUACAAAACCAAACUCUUUGGAGGACCCAGUUUCCUGGUCAUUGACUAUCCUUGCAGGAAUAGAGCAGUCAAAUGAUUCCUUUAAGGCUUCUUGGGUGGUAUCCUCAGGCCAACCUUUGACAGCAUUUUCAAUGUCUGGCUUCCUGCAUUAGGCCAUUCCCUGGUCCUUGCAACUCCAGCCUGAUUACAGUACCCUCAAUUUCCCUUUUAUUACAAGAAUUUAAAGCUUCUGUUGCAUCUUCAAAUGAAGCAAACUCUACAAAUGCAUACACUUUAGAUUUGCCGUUUUGGUUCUGGGGUACUUUGAUAAAAGUUGCCUUCUCAAACACUUCCUGAAGAGUUUCUUCUGUUGCAGAGUAAAAGAGGUUGCUUAAAACCAGAGUUUUGAUCACCACUCCAGGUGGUGUUCUUUCCAUCUCUGUAGUCUUAAUUUUGAUCUUUCUCUUCCAGUUUAGUAGAGGGAAGCAAAUUGCCUGUCCAUCGCUGUCCCCUGCUUGGCUUUCAAGGUUUUUUCUGCAUUACCUUCUGUUAAAUUCCAUGUGAGCAGUCCCUCUCCUUUCCCCAUCCUUGCUGACUGAUCCUAUCCUCAUGGCCUCUUGAAACACUUCUUUUGAUUCAAUCUGAGUGACUUUGUAAGGGAGAUUUUUGGUCAAAAGUGUUCUUGCAUCUUGAUCUUUCUCACUGUCUUUUCCUUUUGGUUUCUCUGGUUUAAUUUUAAGCAAAUUGAUUAUUAUAAGAAAUCAUCAAAUUUAUAAACUUAGAAAAUCAAUCAAAUAAAAAUAAUUUGGAAUCGUUCAAUUAUUUUUAUUUUAUUUUAUUUAUGUAUUUGUGUGUGUGUGUGUGUGGGGGUGCUGAGGAUUGAACCCAGGACCUUGUGCAUGGAAGGCAAGCACUCUACCAACUGAGCUAUAUCCUCAGUCCUCCAUUGUUUUUAUUUUAUAGCAAAGACAUAAUGAGUGACUCAUGGUAAUAGCAUGACAGUUUUUCUUAGGUACAAUGCCCCAAAAGGUACACUGCCAUUGGGACUUGUUCCUUGGAGCAUUUAAAUACAUCCAUAUUUCUUUCUUUAAUUCCUUUCUUCCUUCCUUUAUUUAUUUAUUUAGCAGUACUAGGGAUUGAACCCAGGGACACUCUUACCAGUGAGCCAUAUUCCAGCCAUUUUUUAGUUUUUAUUCUGAGUCAGAGUCUUGCUAAAUUUUUGAGGCUGGCCUCAAAUUUGUGAUACUCCUGCCUCAGCCUCCUGAAUCACAGGGAUUAUAGGGGUGUGCCACUGUGCCCAGCUAAAUAUUUUAAACAACAUUGUUGUUCAUUAUCAGGGAAAAAUAAAUUUAGUUUUUGUGGUGCUGGGGAUUGAACCCAGGGCCUUGUGCAUGCAAGGCAAGCACCCUAUCAACCGACCCAGGGAAAAACAUUUUAAGAGUGGCAUAAAGGUUUGUAAUGUGGACUCUGGAACCAGACUGCCUGGGUAUGAAUUCUAAC